rnacentral:rRNA from 1 species
GACGAACGCUGGCGGCGUGCUUAACACAUGCAAGUCGAACGGAAAGGCCUCUUUCGGGGGGUACUCGAGUGGCGAACGGGUGAGUAACACGUGAGUAACCUGCCCUUGACUUUGGGAUAACUUCAGGAAACUGGGGCUAAUACCGGAUAGGAGCUCCUGCUGCAUGGUGGGGGUUGGAAAGGUUCGGCGGUUGGGGAUGGACUCGCGGCUUAUCAGCUUGUUGGUGGGGUAGUGGCUUACCAAGGCUUUGACGGGUAGCCGGACUGGGUGGGUGACCGGCCACAUUGGGACUGAGAGACGGCCCAGACUCCUACGGGAGGCAGCAGUGGCGAAUAUUGCACAAUGGGUGGAAGCCUGAUGCAGCAACGCCGUGUGCGGGAUGACGGCCUUCGGGUUGUAAACCGCUUUCGCUCAGGACGAAGCAUUGUGUGACGGUAGUGGGUAAAGAAGCACCGGCUAACUACGUG